UUGGCUGAUCGCACCAUCACUUGUUGCAGUUGGGUGUUGGGUCGCAAUAUCACUGGUUGCAGCUGGUUGGUUGGUCGCACCAUCGCUGGUUGCAACUAAUUGGUUGGUCGCACCAUCACUGGUUGCAGCUGGUUGGUUGGUCGCACCAUUACUGGUUGCGGCUGGUUGGCUGAUCGCAACAUCACUGGUUGCAGCUGGUUGGUUGGUCGCACCAUUACUGGUUACAGCUGGUUGGCUGAUCCCACCAUCACUGGUUGCACUUGCCUGUUCGGUCGCACCAUCACUGGUCGCAGGUGGUUGGUUGGUCGCAGUGGUUUCAGCUGGUUGGCUGGUCGCACCAUCACUGGAUACCAGACUGGUAACUUCUGUAACAAUGUCUGGGGAUACGGCGGUAGAAGUAUCCUGAGAAUUGGCUAGACCUGUCAGUGUCAUUGCCAUGACAGCAUAUACCAUUAUACAGAUUGUGUUCAUUUUAGAAAUUUGUAAUUUUUAAAUCUGAAUCUUAAAGGUCUAAACAGAAUGCAUAGAAAUAGUUUGCACUGGCACUAAUGAGCGAAAUAAUAGAAAACUAUCUAACAAAAAGGUUUCUCACUUAUUACUAAGUUUUUAAACUAAAAUCUACCCCUGUCUAAAAAUCCCCACUUUCGGUCACGUUGAGUUCUAAACGUUGUCGCCGUCUGGCCAUGGCUUUUAUGUUAUACACAGAACUAUUAUUGAAUAUGGCGUAUUUAUAAUGGUCGAUGACGCAAUCAUAGCGCGUGCUUCUUCGUACAUCCAAUGUUAAAUAUUUGCUUGAUCAAACACUUCCAUCGCGCGCGUUAGAUUUCUCAGUAUACCUCCCAAGUAAAGUAUGUCUAUAAUAAUUGUUCAAGUUUUAAGCUAGUUCUCCUUACCGAAUUCUUAUUUUUAGUUGCAGGUACUUAUCUUUCGCAGUUUAUCGCGUGUCGAUAUAUGUUUACUUUAUUUCGCAAUGCGCAAAUGUGGUGGAGGUGACAAUAUUAAAGUUAUUUUUUGGACCAUGUUUUUCCAUGGUACCGUUUAAUCUGUUGUACGUGUUAAAGUAUUAAAUUUCAUAAACAAGGUGAUGUACAGAAUAAAUAGAUAGAUAAGUAUCUCCACAGAGGUUGACACGGCAUGUGUGCAGAGCAAACGAUACCAAAGUUUCGGUAGUGAUUUUCACAACACUCAAUCAACAAAGCACACGUGCAUCGCUUUUUCCUUUUGUAUUUGAAUUUCAAUUUCGCGCGAAACUGCUCACAGUGAGAUGAUUAUGACGUAAUAUAAAGUGAGAGAUAGUAAUAAUCACAACGAAUUAAACAAUGUGACAACUAUCGAAAAUAAUUACUUUGUUAAAUCACCAUGACAUGACUAAUGUGUCGGUUAG